rnacentral:rRNA from 1 species
AGCCAGCAGCCGCGGUAAUACGGAGGUUGCGAGCGUUGUUCGGAAUAACUGGGCGUAAAGGGAGCGCAGGCGGUUCGGCAAGUCUAAAGUGGAAGCCCGGGGCUUAACCUCGGAAGUGCUUUGGAUACUACCGAGCUCGAGUUCGUGAGAGGAAAGCGGAAUUCCAGGUGUAGCGGUGAAAUGCGUAGAUAUCUGGAGGAACACCGGUGGCGAAAGCGGCUUUCUGGCACGAUACUGACGCUGAGGCUCGAAAGCAUGGGUAGCAAACGGGAUUAGAUACCCCGGUAGUCCAUGCCGUAAACGUUGUGCACUAGGUGUGGGAGGUAUCGACCCCUUCCGUGCCGCAGCUAACGCAUUAAGUGCACCGCCUGGGGAGUACGGUCGCAAGACUGAAACUCAAAGGAAUUGACGGGGGCCCGCACAAGC